GAUGAACGCUGGCGGCGUGCCUAAUACAUGCAAGUCGAGCGAACAGACGAGGAGCUUGCUCCUCUGACGUUAGCGGCGGACGGGUGAGUAACACGUGGAUAACCUACCUAUAAGACUGGGAUAACUUCGGGAAACCGGAGCUAAUACCGGAUAAUAUAUUGAACCGCAUGGUUCAAUAGUGAAAGACGGUUUUGCUGUCACUUAUAGAUGGAUCCGCGCCGCAUUAGCUAGUUGGUAAGGUAACGGCUUACCAAGGCAACGAUGCGUAGCCGACCUGAGAGGGUGAUCGGCCACACGGGAGCUGAGACACGGUCCAGACUCCUACGGGAGGCAGCAGUAGGGAAUCUUCCGCAAUGGGCGAAAGCCUGACGGAGCAACGCCGCGUGAGUGAUGAAGGUCUUCGGAUCGUAAAACUCUGUUAUUAGGGAAGAACAAAUGUGUAAGUAACUAUGCACGUCUUGACGGUACCUAAUCAGAAAGCCACGGCUAACUACGUG
rnacentral:rRNA from 1 species